UACGUAGGGUCCGAGCGUUGUCCGGAAUUAUUGGGCGUAAAGGGCUCGUAGGCGGUUUGUCACGUCGGGAGUGAAAACUCAGGGCUCAACCCUGAGCGUGCUUCCGAUACGGGCAGACUAGAGGUAUUCAGGGGAGAACGGAAUUCCUGGUGUAGCGGUGGAAUGCGCAGAUAUCAGGAGGAACACCGGUGGCGAAGGCGGUUCUCUGGGAAUUACCUGACGCUGAGGAGCGAAAGCAUGGGGAGCGAACAGG
rnacentral:rRNA from 1 species